CUGACUUUGGUAGCAUAUAUACUAAAAUUGAAAUGGUACAGAGAAGAUUGGCAUGACCUCUCAACAAGCAUGAUAUGCAUGCAAAUUUGUGAAGAAUUCCAUAUUUUU